UUCAAUCGCUUAAAACAUGAAUUAACAAGACAUGCAAAACAGAAAUGAGACAGUGAUAAAUCGGAUAUGGUAAAUGACAAGUCCUAUUAUGCUUUUUUAAUUAUAGGACUACUGCCAGCUAAGGUAUAAUCCGAUAAAAAUAUGUUAAACUGCGAUACUGGAAAAGCAAGUACUUCUGCAGUUUGUUAUAUAACUUCAACGAUCGCUUGCGAUAAGCUCCGCGCAUUUCCUAACCCUCCCUGUUCAAUAUUACGACGCUACUAACUGAAGCCAAGAAUCUUAGCUUACGAAGAUUUUAGAAUCUGAAUUGAAAUGAAUAGUCAAAAAAGACGGACGGAGACAUCAAUUCGUUCUUCACCAUAAAAAUAUUUGUGUAAUAAAAACUAAAGGUGGUGGAUCGAACUCUACAGGAAUAGUUAUCUAUUUAAUUUGGUGUUUACUCUUCAUUUAAUAACUUCACAUUAUUGAAACUCCCAUUUAAAUAUUAUAGACAAACAAGUAAACAAAAAAAGCCUAACCGAUUUGUAUCCAAAAUGCAGCUAGCCAAAACGUUGACAAUUUCACAUAAUUUUCAAAUCUUUUUUGUGUUUAUUUUUUCGAAACCUGAGAAAUAUUGUCUAUAUUAAUAGGGGUAUGUUUAAAUGCGCGUUUGCCAGGUCCAACUCCAUAACUACUUGCAACUUGACCAUUUCCUCUAAGUUGGUACUUGUAAAUAGUUAACCCAUCAAGACCCAUUGGUCCUCGAGCAUGAAUUUUGUUGGUGCUGAUGCCAACUUCGGUACCGUAACCAUAACGAAAACCAUCGGCAAAUCUGGUUGAAGCAUUCCAAUACACACCAGAAGCAUCAAUUCCAGCCAUGAAUCUGUUAGCAGCUGCUUCACUAGAAGUGAUAAUGCAAUCCGUGUGUUUAGAACCAUGUGUAUUUAUAUGCUGCAUUGCGGACUGUAAGGAAGGUACAGUCUUAAUAGCAAGAAUCAAAUCAGAGAAUUCAGUGUUGUAAUCUUGAUCGACAGAUGGUUCAACUAGAGCACUAACUUUUGGCAUAUCCUUUAAAACCUUAAGAGAAGCGGGAUCACAUUUUAAUGUAACUUUUGCUUCAGUUAAAGUUUCAGCAAUUUUAGGAAGAUGAGAAGAUAAAACAGCUUCGUUAAUUAACAAAGUUUCAAUUGCAUUACAUGCUGCUGGAUAAUCAGUUUUUCCAUCCAGAACAAGUUUACUAGCCAAUUCCAUAUCAGCAUCCUCAUGGACGUACAUGGAGCAUAGUCCUGCAGCAUGACCUAAAACAGGAAUUUUUGUGUUAUCUUUUAUAUGGCGUACAAGAUUAGUGCUGCCGCGGGGAAUAACCAAAUCUAUGUACUCAUCCAAUUUUAAUAAUUGUGAUACCUCCUCGCGACUCUGAACAAGCUGCACAGCAGCCUGUGGAACCUUACUUUUGCCCAAGGCAGAGCGAACAACAUUAGAAAGUGCAGCGAAAGACUUUGCUGAUUCCGUGCCUCCUUUAAGUACAACAGCAUUACCAGAUUUGAUAGCCAGGGAAGUAAUAUUAAUGAUUACUUCAGGUCUAGCUUCAAAAAUGACUAGCAAUAAACCUACAGGGCAAGAGACUUUAUAAAGGUCCAAACCAUCGUCAAGACUACGAGCAUAAGUAACACGACCAAGGGGAUCAGGCAAACUUUUAACAUCUAAAACACCCUGUACCAUGGAAUCGUAUUUAUCAGAUGAAGACAGAUCCAAUCUUUUAACCAUCGAUGAACUUAGUUUUCCUGAUUCAGCCAAGAGCUUAGCUGCUUUCAUAUCUUCAGCAUUUGCAGCUAGAACCUCUGACUUUUUUAUGCGCAGUUCUUCAACUAUUUUAUCCAAUGCAUCAUCACGGUCUUCCACUGAUAAUGUCUGUAAAAUGUUAAAAGCGUUUUUCGCUUCCUUUACAUUCUCUUCAAGAGACAUGCUAAACAAUACUUAUACAACUUUGAGUAGAGGCAAUUGGGAGAUUUAAAUCAAGCGAAUUCUUAUUCUUAGAAUGGCUAGCUCAAAAAGACUACUUUUUGUAGUAUUUUGGUUGUUUUUUCUAAUGUAUGAAUAAUGCAAGUUCGUGAUUUAUUUAACACCCUUCAAGUAACAAAAUCAAGCAUUGUUACUUUACAUUAAGCAUAACUAAGAUUUCUGAAAGAUACGAAAUCAUGGAAAGUGAGAGUACUUCUGCAGUUAACUAAAAAUAUUUUGCAACCUCAAGAACAGUUAGUGUUAUAUUUUCAGUUUUUGUUUUUCCGUUACUAUAUAUAGUAGCCUUACUUUUCACUUUUCACGUAGUGCAAGAAUUAUGCUUGUAAACAAAAGACUAAAAAAUGAGCAACUGGGUAUCUUCGGUUAAGAAAUACAAAGAUACUAAUUUUAAAGUGUGCUUUGUAUAUUCCAUAGAGAAUUUGGAUUAUUACACACUUCGUAUUUCUCAUGAAUAAAUUAUAGUCAUAUCGUAAAAGCAAAAACAUUUAUUAGCAUGGUGUCCAGUUAUUACUGAAUCAAUUUGAUCUAGUUGUUUUUAAUUCAAAUUAAAGAUGCUUCUAGUUGAAAUGCACAGCUCAACAAACAAAAUUGUUUGUUCAUCUUUUCGGGAAAACAUCCUUCAAUAUAGAGUAUCGCUAACGGUUGUAAUUGAAUUGUUUACAAUGGCUGAUCAAACUGUUCAUUAAUAUAGUACUUUUUUUUUAAUUUGAACGCAAUUACUUUGAAUUUAAUUCCAUAUUUGCAAAGUUCAUCUUGCCUUACAGUUUCACAAUUGUCCCCCAAGUC